rnacentral:rRNA from 1 species
CGUUGAAACAUCGAUUUACGUACGAUCACUGAAGUUAAGCACCGUCGAACCUGGUCAGUACCUAGAUGGGUGACCGCUUGGGAAUACCAGGUGUUGUCA